rnacentral:rRNA from 1 species
AGCGAACGCUGGCGGCAGGCCUAACACAUGCAAGUCGAACGAAGUCUUCGGACUUAGUGGCGGACGGGUGAGUAACACGUGGGAACGUACCUUUUGGUUCGGAACAACUCAGGGAAACUUGAGCUAAUACCGGAUGAGCCCUUAGGGGGAAAGAUUUAUCGCCGAAAGAGCGGCCCGCGUUAGAGUAGCUAGUUGGUGAGGUAAAGGCUCACCAAGGCUACGAUCUAUAGCUGGUCUGAGAGGAUGAUCAGCCACACUGGGACUGAGACACGGCCCAGACUCCUACGGGAGGCAGCAGUGGGGAAUCUUGCGCAAUGGGCGAAAGCCUGACGCAGCCAUGCCGCGUGAAUGAUGAAGGUCUUAGGAUUGUAAAAUUCUUUUACCAGGGACGAUAAUGACGGUACCUGGAGAAAAAGCCCCGGCAAACUUCGUGCCAGCCGCCGCAGAAACAC